rnacentral:antisense_RNA from 1 species
AGCGCGACGGGGUCGACCGCGCGGGUCACGGUGAGGUAGUCGCGGAUGGCGGUGCCGUGCCGGUCCUC